GAAGUAUNCGUCNGUUAUCACCGACAUAUAGUUUGAGGCUAUAAUUAAUAAGAAGGCAAAAAUUUAUUCAAUUUCUAUAUUAAGGUAUACACGAUUACUAACAAUUACAACUUCAUGCCAUUGAGUGUCGGGCAAAUCCAAACUGAAAUCUGCUUUAUGGUAUUUUGCUUGGCUUUUUUGAGUUAUUGUUGCAAACUUGUAACCUAAAACAUAAGAGCGAUAACGAUUUAAUGCAAUCUUUGCCUUCCUCCAACUUAUAACUGGCAAUCUUAUCCGAAUCCCUACCACUAAAUACUGGCAACGAUAAUAAGGAUUUAAGCUCGCUACAAUACUUGUCCUUCUCUCAGACAUCACACUUAGUAAUCUACAUUAUUUCCUAACUAAAAACUAUUUACUAAAUGCAGAUCGUUUAUAAAAUAGGCUGCUGAAAAAUACAAUCCUGUUUAAUCCUUGCACUUUAGCGAAACAACUUCGGGUUUUAUCGAAAGCUUGCUUUUGCUUCUAGACAUUUUUCUUAAUAUCAACAGAUCUCAACUUAACCCAGAAAUUUUAACUUCUUGUGUUUCACAUUCCAACAA
rnacentral:misc_RNA from 1 species